UCCAUAAAGAAAGAAAGAGCAUUGGGAAAAGAAUAAAUGAAGGUUGAAAAAUGACAGAUGCAAUUUGUUCAAAAAAGAAAAUGUAUGGAGGAGAAUAUUCAGACAGUGAUGACGGGAAACAAUGGAGAUUACACAAGAUCAGAGUAAAAUGUUCAUAAUUGUUAAAGCUGGGGGAUAAUCACAUGGGAAUUUAUUAUACUAUUGUGCCUAUUCUUAUGUAUGCCUGAACGUUUUCAUAAUAAAAAGUUUCAGGCUGGA